AUUUUAAUAAUUUAAAAAAAAUACUGGUCUUGUAAACCAACAAUAAGAUGACUCUUUUAAAAUA
rnacentral:tRNA from 1 species